UACAGAGGGUGCAAGCGUUAAUCGGAAUUACUGGGCGUAAAGCGCGCGUAGGUGGUUCGUUAAGUUGGAUGUGAAAUCCCCGGGCUCAACCUGGGAACUGCAUUCAAAACUGUCGAGCUAGAGUAUGGUAGAGGGUGGUGGAAUUUCCUGUGUAGCGGUGAAAUGCGUAGAUAUAGGAAGGAACACCAGUGGCGAAGGCGACCACCUGGACUGAUACUGACACUGAGGUGCGAAAAGCUGGGGGAGCAAAACAGG
rnacentral:rRNA from 1 species